rnacentral:rRNA from 1 species
UACGAGGGGGGCAAGUGUUGUUCGGAAUUACUGGGCGUAAAGGGAGCGUAGGCGGGCUCUUAAGUUGGAUGUUUAAAACCGGGGCCUAACCCCGGCGUGGCAUCCAAAACUGGGAGUCUUGAAUGGGACAGAGGCCAGUGGAAUUAGAGGCGUAGCGGUGGAAUGCGUAGAUAUCUCUAAGAACACCAGUUGCGAAGGCGGCUGGCUGGGUCCACAUUGACGCUGAGGCUCGAAAGCGUGGGGAGCAAACAGG